CCUGGGCACGGUGGUGCUUGCCUGUAAUCCCAGUGGCUUGGGAGGCUGAGGCAGGAGGAUAGCAAGUUCAAAGCCAGCCUCGGCAAUUUAUGCAGGCACCUAGCAGCUCAGUAAGAUCCUGUCUCUA
rnacentral:sRNA from 1 species